CCCCAGACAAUACACAAGCCUGCCAUUCCAUUCGCAGUCCUCUCGUGUAGUAACAAACGGGCCCGUUUUGUUCCGUUUUCAUCUGAGACAGCCCCGCCAAAAUGACUGCCGCUUUUCUCUGGCCGUUCGUUGCCCGCCUGACGCAGGGGAGAGUUCCGGGUCGGGGCUGAUGGGUCUGCCUUGUGUCAGCGGCCAUUUGGACAUCUUGUCGCCGCUCCGUCUGUCGCUGUUGUGAGUCUUCGCUUGUCGUGACGUUGUGCUGAACCCGGCGCCUAGUGCGGCCGGAAGGGUCCCGUGGGCUUGACUUUCUCCAGAAUUCAGCAAGAGCGGGGAAGGGGGAGGUCCUCCGCCAGAUCUGCGGGCGUCGCUUGCGGGGGCUCUCGAAUCCUAAAACCCCAUUAAAAAGGCAUCUUGGAGUCAGGUCUCUUCUCCCUCCCCCCACAGUCUGCACCCUGUAUGGUCUCUGGAAUGGAUCUGAUGUCCAACCUGGGCCUUUGUUCUUCCAGAGUCUGACUUUAGUCAGAAGCUUUCUAUUUCUUAAGAAAGAAGGGUAGUAAUGAAUCUGAAAACGAAUCUAACAACUUUGAAGAAAAACACAUGGAGGAAAGGCCAUCCCAAGCGGUCCCUCUUGUUAAGCUCUGCCCUAUUUCCUGCAGCAGACCCAGAUGGACUUGUUACAAUGUCGAUGCAGACUGCCCUAGUGGAGCAUCUCCAAGGACGGAUGCAUCCGGUCAGGGCCGCUUGAUGUUUUUAUCAGUAAUCUGCAGGCGAACACUGCUGGGAAUUUUCAGACGUCAGCAGUGGGAGUAAAGGCUGACAGGUUGCAUGACGAGUCAGUGUCCCAAAAGAACCCAACAGGCUGCAAUGGACUGAACUGAUUAAGAUGGAAGUGUCUAACAGUGAAAAAACCAGAUGUUUUGGUUAAAAAAAUCAAGCGCUCAAAUCCAAAAAUUAAUGGAGAUCUUGAUGGACUACAAUAAGGGGGCUUGGAAACCACAAGUUUAUCACAUUUUGUGUUGCCCUGAGACAUGUUUAGAACAUAAAAGCUAAAGUCCCAAUGUCCUUGUCAGAUUGGGGUAAUGGGGGAAACCCAAUCUGGACAUUCCAUUCAGUUCAAGUUCUUUUAGGAAGAGAGCACUGAUGAGAUGGAGACCAUGACAGGGAAGGGCCUGGACUCAAUACUAUAAAAGAAUCAGCUGAAAGAGCUCGAGAUGUUUAAGUUGGAGAAGAGAGAAAGUUUUGCAAAGGCUAGCAGGAGCACGGAUGACAGUCAUUCUUAAGAAUCUGGAGAGCUAACAUGAGGAAAAGAGAAUAAUGGGUGGAAAUUUGAGGUAGAUUUUAGCCCGGUAUAAGGGAAAACUUCCUAAUGAUUAGAAUGAUCAAAAAGUGAACCAGCUAUCUUAAAAAAGAUGAGUUCUCUCUUUCUUAAAGACUUCAAGCUAAAGCCUUCAGACUCUUAUCAGACUAUUUCAGAAGUGGUUAAAGCAGUGGGUUUGGAGUCACAAACAUCCGAGUCCAAAUGCUACUUUAGGCACUAAGAAUCCUUAGUUUCCUAAACUGUAAAAAGAAGGGACUGGAUUUAUGGGCCUUCCACCUCUAGACCUACGGUCUCUCCCAAAUGAUUCUAACUGCCAAGUGUGAUUUCCAGCUUUAAACACGUCUCCUGAAGUUCCAGAUUAUCUCAAACUAACAAGAUACAUGCCCAUUUCAGUGUGUCACUGGCACCCCAAAGUCAUAAACCAGCUUUCUUCUACUUUUAUUUCUGUAGCUAUUAGCAUCCCUAUCCUUCUCAACUCUCCAAAGACCUUCCUCAGACUCCUUCACUCCCAUAUCCAAUCCUCUUCCCAAGUCCUGUCUUAUUCCUGCCUCCAUAUCCCUCACACAUCCAGAUCCUUGAAUGUCACUAAUCUUGUGCAAGCCUUUGUCGCUUUACACUUAACUCGUCACUGUUUUAGGUACAGAAAAUAUUUAACACUUGGUCAGAAAGAAAUCUCAAGGGACCCAUGCUAGUACUGGGCACAGAAUUGGAUGCCACUUGACACUUGUUACCAAUAACCAAGUUCUAGAUCACUAUCAUGAGGAAGCAGGGGGCUCUACCUGGGUAAGGAGCAAAGUACAGGCCUGAAGAGCUGUGACCAAACUUCUCACAUCACCUACUGAACUCGGAUCAAGUUGUGAAAGUAGGAGGACAUCAUAGAAGUUCAGGUCAAUUGUCCCUACCCUAGAGGUGAGUAGAAUUCAAUUUUUAAUAUCAAACCCAAAUUCAAGAUUUAGGAUGAGAAACUGGGCAAACAACAACAAAAAAGCCUGAUCAUUAAAAGUGACAGGGAGGCUCAAAACAAAAACUCAGAAGGCAAUGAGUGAAAUAUAUACAAAGCAAAGACUGGAGGGGAGGACAGGGCGGAAUAACUUAACUGUUAAAUUACUUAAAAAUAACUGGCUGAAUGGUAAAAGAGUUGUACAAAACGUAACUGAAUACCUCCUUAAAAAUUAGAUUUGGUCAAGGGGGAGCUAAUAAUUAUAAGAGAUGUCAAGAAAUAAUAAAAGUCAAAAGAAUGGGAAAAAAAUUGAAAAGAACUGAA